rnacentral:rRNA from 1 species
AUUGAACGCUGGCGGCAGGCCUAACACAUGCAAGUCGAGCGGAUGAAGGGAGCUUGCUCCUGGAUUCAGCGGCGGACGGGUGAGUAAUGCCUAGGAAUCUGCCUGGUAGUGGGGGAUAACGUCCGGAAACGGGCGCUAAUACCGCAUACGGCCUGAGGGAGAAAGUGGGGGAUCUUCGGACCUCACGCUAUAAGAUGAGCCUAGGUCGGAUUAGCUAGUUGGUGGGGUAAAGGCCUACCAAGGCGACGAUCCGUAACUGGUCUGAGAGGAUGAUCAGUCACACUGGAACUGAGACACGGUCCAGACUCCUACGGGAGGCAGCAGUGGGGAAUAUUGGAGAAUGGGCGAAAGCCUGAUCCAGCCAUGCCGCGUGUGUGAAGAAGGUCUUCGGCUUGUAAAGCACUUUAAGUUGGGAGGAAGGGCAGUAAGUUAAUACCUUGCUGUUUUGACGUUACCAACAGAAUAAGCACCGGCUAACUUCGUG